GCGAAAGCAUUCAUCAAUUCCAGUCCUUUUAAUCAAGAACGAAAGUUGGGGGAUCGAAAGUGAUUAGAUACCACUGUAGUCUCAACCAUAAACGAUGUCAUCUAUGGAUUCGUCUUGUACAUUCAUGUUUGAUGGUAACAUCACGCAUAUUCGUCAAGAGGAGCACAUUGUGAGAAAUCAAAGAUUUUGGACUCUGGGGAGAGUAUGGUAGCAAUGCUGAAAUUUAAAGGAAUUGGCGGAAGUGGUACCACCAGGAGUGGAUCGUGCGGCUUAAUUUGAUUCAACGCGUGGAAACUUACCAGUGCCGAACAUUGUGAGGAUAGACAGACUGCAGCUCUUUCUUGAUUCUGUGUUUUUUUAAGUAGUGCAUGGCCUUUGGGAAGUGAGUGGAUUG
rnacentral:rRNA from 1 species